CACACACACACACACACACACACACACACACACACACACACACACACACACACACACACACACACACACACACACACACACACACACACACACACACACACACACACACACACACACACACACACACACACACACACACACACACACACACACACACACACACACACACACACACACACACACACACACACACACACACACACACACACACACAGUGUUUUCCUGUUAUGCAUUGAUUGUAUUCAAGCAGUUGGUUCAAAGAGUGUAUACAAGCAGUUUCCUAGAGCAUUCUCAUGUGAGUGUGUGUGGUGUCACAUGAGGGAAGCAGGUGUGCUGUAGGCUGACAGCCGUUUUGGGUUACCUCAGAGCAACACACGCCCCACAUCCCACCAUGGCAUCCAAUCCACAUCACCUCGUGAAAGAAUUUCUUGAGGCAAUUCAACACCACCCAACAGCGGAGCUGGUCACUGCUGUAAGGGAAGGAGACGAGGCAGGGGUGAGGUCAGCACUUGACAGGGGUGCCCGGCCCGAGGUCACCGUCCCCACUGAUGCUGGGGGGUCAUGGAGUCUGCUGACUCAGGCUGCCAGCAAGGGCCACGAGCACCUGCUGUCGCUCUUACUGCAGGCAGGGUUAAGCAUAGAAGGUGGAGGCACCACUGACAGGACACCGCUGAUGAUGGCUGCCCAGAAUGGCCACGCCCAUACAGUGAAGGCGCUGCUGGACCUCCGUGGUAACCCUCUGGCCAUGGAUAGUGACGGAAGGACAGCCCUACACUUUGCUUCACGGCAGGGCCACCAGCAGUGUGUGGCGGCCCUCUUGCCCGUCACCCCUCCCACUCCCGCACACCUCGAGGCACACACCCCGGUGCACGCCGCCAGUUAUGGUGGCCACGUGGAGGUACUGGAGCAGCUGGCAGGUGCUGGCUGGCCCCUCACCGCCAAGAACAGUUAUGGCGACACACCCAUGCACUCUGCUGCGGCCAAGGGUAGAGUGACAUGUGUGCAGUGGCUGGUGCAGCGAGGCGGUGACACAAGCAUACAAAAUAAUGCUGGACACACCCCGCUUGACAAGGUAGGCAGUGGGGAGGGGCAGGAGGGUGGACAUAUGCAAACUGUCUUACGAUCUGGUUCAAAGUUUAACAGAUAGAGAUAUUAAAGCAACAUGCGUUUGGUUGACCAGGUUUAUUAUAUUUUUAGUUGUAGUAGUAGUAGUAGUAGUACUAGUAGUAGUAGUAUUAGCAGUAGUAGAAGUAGUAGUAAUAGUAGUACAAGCAGUAGUAGUAGUAGUAGUAGUAGUAGUAGUUUUAGUUAUAUUAUUAUUAUUAUUAGUAGUAGUAGUAGUAGUAGUAGUAGUAAAAGCAGUAGCAGAAGUAGUAUUAGAAGCAGUAGUAGUAGUAGUAGUAGCAGUAGUAGUAGUAGUAGAACUAGUAGUAAUGGCAGAAAAGAAGCACCAGCCAAGGAGCAAUGUCGUCGCAUGGAUGA